rnacentral:rRNA from 1 species
CGUCUCCGUUAUGAUUUUAGGUGCUUGCACUUGAAAGAUUUAACAUUGAGACGAGUGGCGAACUGGUGAGUAACACGUGGGUAACCUGCCCUUGAAGUAGGGGAUAACACUUGGAAACAGGUGCUAAUACCGUAUAACAACCAAAACCACCUGGUUUUGGUUUAAAAGACGGCUUCGGCUGUCACUUUAGGAUGGACCCGCGGCGUAUUAGCUUGUUGGUAAGGUAACGGCCUACCAAGGCGAUGAUACGUAGCCGACCUGAGAGGGUAAUCGGCCACAUUGGGACUGAGACACGGCCCAAACUCCUACGGGAGGCAGCAGUAGGGAAUCUUCCACAAUGGACGAAAGUCUGAUGGAGCAACGCCGCGUGAGUGAUGAAGGGUUUCGGCUCGUAAAACUCUGUUGUUGGAGAAGAACAGGUGUCAGAGUAACUGUUGACAUCUUGACGGUAUCCAACCAGAAAGCCACGGCUAACUACGUGCCAGCAGCCGCGGUAAUACGUAGGUGGCAAGCGUUGUCCGGAUUUAUUGGGCGUGAAGCGAGCGCAGGCGGUUUUUUAGGUCUGAUGUGAAAGCCUUCGGCUUAACCGGAGAAGUGCAUCGGAAACCGGGAGACUUGAGUGCAGAAGAGGACAGUGGAACUCCAUGUGUAGCGGUGAAAUGCGUAGAUAUAUGGAAGAACACCAGUGGCGAAGGCGGCUGUCUGGUCUGUAACUGACGCUGAGGCUCGAAAGCAUGGGUAGCGAACAGGAUUAGAUACCCUGGUAGUCCAUGCCGUAAACGAUGAGUGCUAAGUGUUGGAGGGUUUCCGCCCUUCAGUGCUGCAGCUAACGCAUUAAGCACUCCGCCUGGGGAGUACGACC